GAUGAACGCUGGCGGCGUGCCUAAUACAUGCAAGUCGAGCGAACGGACGAGAAGCUUGCUUCUCUGAUGUUAGCGGCGGACGGGUGAGUAACACGUGGAUAACCUACCCAUAAGACUGGGAUAACUUCGGGAAACCGUAGCUAAUACCGGAUAAUAUUUUGAACCGCAUGGUUCAAAAGUGAAAGACGGUCUUGCUGUCACUUAUAGAUGGAUCCGCGCUGCAUUAGCUAGUUGGUAAGGUAACGGCUUACCGAGGCAACGAUGCAUAGCCGACCUGAGAGGGUGAUCGGCCACACUGGAACUGAGACACGGUCCAGACUCCUACGGGAGGCAGCAGUAGGGAAUCUUCCGCAAUGGGCGAAAGCCUGACGGAGCAACGCCGCGUGAGUGAUGAAGGUCUUCGGAUCGUAAAACUCUGUUAUUAGGGAAGAACAUAUGUGUAAGUAACUGUGCACAUCUUGACGGUACCUAAUCAGAAAGCCACGGCUAACUACGUG
rnacentral:rRNA from 1 species